rnacentral:rRNA from 1 species
GACGAACCGUGCGAACGUUGUUCGGAUUCGCUGGGCAUAAAGGGCGCGUAGGCGGACGGUCAAGUCGGGGGUGAAAUCUUUCAGCUUAACUGGAAAAGUGCCUCCGAUACUGACUGUCUCGAGGGAGGUAGGGGCAUGUGGAACUUCCGGUGGAGCGGUGAAAUGCGUAGAUAUCGGAAGGAACGCCGGUGGCGAAAGCGACGUGCUGGACCUCUUCUGACGCUGAGGCGCGAAAGCUAGGGGAGCAAACGGG